GGUUCCUUGCCCUCUCCUUGCUGCAGUUGACAGUAGUGCAGUUGCCUCCCCAACCGCGGCCGUCUGGAACCCCCUGGACGGGCACUGGGCAGCGCAGCGGGACUGCGGGAGUCACCUCCAUGGCCUCGGCCGCAACCCUCCCCAAGCUUUAGCUGAGGCGAAGAUGGCUAGCUACUCCCAGAGAAAGAAGGAGCAAAAAAUGGUGGUCCAAGGAAGUAAGUUAAUCCGAAAGAUAGCAAGUGAAGCGUUUGACCGGGCGUUUGGAUGGUGCCCGAGAGACAUGCGAAUUUCUGGGUGAUCAAGACUGCAAUAUGGAGGCUGGAGUUGGAGAUAGCCUUUCUUUUGGUUGAUGUCUUGAAUCAGUGUCUUUUGUUUGCGCCUGUCUGUCCUGAUCUGUCUGUCUUGAUCUGGUUGUAAAUAAGAAAGUCUUAUGCUACUAGUCGCAGGUCGAACUUUAUCUUCUAUCCUAAACCCUCUACCUAUCUAGGUUGAUAGUGUAAAGUGUCUAGAUAGAGAUCUAACCUAGUUGUUAUUCUGUCGGAUCGUUUGAUCGCGAUAGAUGUCGUUGUUCUAAACUUUCCUAUUUCCUAAUGAAAUAGGGGGCUUGUCCCUUCGUCAAAAAAAAUAUCACACUGCGACUGUUUCGAGCUGCGAGUUGCAGCUGGAACAUUUCUGAA